GGCUCUGUAGUGAAGUUCAUAGUGAGUUGCAAGCUCAUUGAUGUGCAUUGAUUAUGUACCGGAGCCU
rnacentral:tRNA from 10 species